GACGAACCGUGCGAACGUUGUUCGGAAUUACUGGGCGUAAAGGGCGCGUAGGUGGCCUUCUAAGUUGAACGUGAAAUCCCUGGGCUCAACCCAGGAACUGCGUCCAAGACUGGGAGGCUUGAAUCCGGGAGAGGGAUGCGGAAUUCCAGGUGUAGCGGUGAAAUGCGUAGAUAUCUGGAGGAAUACCGGUGGCGAAGGCGGCAUCCUGGACCGAUAUUGACACUGAUGAGCGAAAGCCAGGGGAGCAAACGGG
rnacentral:rRNA from 1 species